rnacentral:rRNA from 1 species
ACUCCUACGGGAGGCAGCAGUGGGGAAUAUUGGACAAUGGGGGCAAGCCUGAUCCAGCAAUGCCGCGUGAGUGAUGAAGGCCUUAGGGUUGUAAAGCUCUUUCGACGGGAACGAUAAUGACGGUACCCGGAGAAGAAGCUGCGGCUAACUACGUGCCAGCAGCCGCGGUAAUACAGAGGGGGCAAGCGUUAAUCGGAAUUACUGGGCGUAAAGGGCGCGUAGGCGGUCUGAUAAGUUAGAUGUGAAAUUCCCGGGCUUAACCUGGGGGCUGCAUUUAAGACUGUCAGGCUUGAAUCCGGGAGAGGAUAGCGGAAUUCCCAGUGUAGAGGUGAAAUUCGUAGAUAUUGGGAAGAACACCAGUGGCGAAGGCGGCUAUCUGGACUGGCAUUGACGCUGAGGCGCGAAAGCGUGGGGAGCAAACAGGAUUAGAUACCCUGGUAGUCCACGCCGUAAACGAUGUGUGCUUGACGUCGGAGGGCAUAGCCCAUCGGUGUCGGAGCUAACGCGGUAAGCACACCGCCUGGGGAGUACGGCCGCAAGGUUAAAACUCAAAGGAAUUGACG